rnacentral:lncRNA from 1 species
AUGUACGUUACAAGAUCCGGAGGGCCAGAAAAAGAAAACAUUAUUACAAGACUCGAAAGGGAUACACCGGAGGCCACUUCGAGAACUUUCUCUACAACUUCAGAGCAUCCUUAGACAAGCGCAGUCCAAUACUACAGUCCGACCCCAAUAGAGCAUCUUCGUCUACGGCUAUACCUGAGCGACAAGAAAGAGGAGCUUCAGCUGCUGGCCCAUCACAAAGAGGACUGUUUAUGUCACCAGAAGGCCUGCAAAGAGCUAUUGACGCCGC